CUUGAGUUUGACCCAGAGAUAGCACAUCUCCUGGCUGGGAUUCAGUCUACAAAGUGAGGAAGUUACACCAAAAGGAACUCUAAGGUCCUGCCCAGCUUGAUAGUGGACACAGCAGCUGCACAGAGGUGGAACAAAUGCAGGCUUACAGGCUGGAGACACAUUUUUGAGGCUGAAUGAAUGAAAAGUACAUGAGUGCUUAUGCUAGCCGAGGACAGCUAGCUGCCCUUGUCCAGCUGGGAGGAAGAUAGGAAGAUUCCUGUCUGUGGUUUGGUGGUCUGUGUUUUCUACCACGUGCUUACAUGUCAACAAAGGGAAACAUGCUGCUGGGUUUUCAGAAAAAUCACAAGGUGUCUGGCUAGAGAAUGAAGCCAGGCAUACAUCUGGUCACCAGCCUGAUGGCUUCUUCCUUCGGGGAGAGGUUGCUCAGGAUCACAGCAGUAUUGGGCUCAGAAGAAAGAAAGGCUCAGUGAAGUCAAGGGACCUAUUCAGAACUACUGGAAACCCAGACUUUCUGCCUUUUCACCCGGAACUCUUUCCAUCAUUCCACAGCUGCCUUCUCCUAAGUGUCCUCAUGAGCUUGUAUCAUCAUCUGUAAGGAUGGGUCUGGACCUCAAAAGGUGGAUUCUGGACCUCAAAAAGAUUAAAAGACAUGGACCACAGCCAGGCUCAGUGGCUCAUGCCUGUAAUCCUAGCACUUUGGGAGACCGAGACAGGCGGAUUGCCUGAGCUCAGGAGUUCAAGACCAGCCUGGGCAACAUGGUGAAACCCCGUCUCUACUAAAAUACAAAAAAAUCAGCCGGGCAUGGUGGCAGGCACCUGUAAUCCCAGCUACUCAAGCAGCUGAGGCACAAGAAUUGCUUGAACCCAGCAAGCAGAGGU
rnacentral:lncRNA from 1 species